rnacentral:rRNA from 1 species
CUUCGACCUGAGUUCAGACGAGACUACCC